rnacentral:rRNA from 1 species
UACGGAGGGUGCGAGCGUUAAUCGGAAUUACUGGGCGUAAAGCGCACGCAGGCGGUCGUAUAAGCCAGAUGUGAAAGCCCCGGGCUUAACCUGGGAGAGUCAUUUGGAACUGUACGACUAGAGUUUUGGAGAGGAGAGUGGAAUUCCGGGUGUAGCGGUGAAAUGCGUAGAUAUCCGGAGGAACAUCAGUGGCGAAGGCGGCUCUCUGGUCAAAAACUGACGCUCAUGUGCGAAAGCGUGGGUAGCGAACAGG